GGAGAGAGCGUCCGAUUUCUUCUUCAGCAGGUUGCGGCCGGUCUGGGCUCCUUUCAGCCGAGCCUUCAUGAUGGUCUGAGCCCUGCAAACACAGAGAGAGCAAAAUACUUGAAAUAUGCUUUAGAAAAGGUUUCUCUGCAAAAGAUGGGAGGAGCUAAACAUCUACUUACAUGCAAGUAAUUUGUCUUUUUUUUUAUUUAGUCUGCAUUUUUUGGUUUGUGUGUUAAUUCCUUCACACACCAUAUUCAAUUUUCUCUGAACUUUGUUUUUGCAGUCAAUAAAUUUGCAAUUCUAAAAUGAUUUAGCAAAAAAAAAUGUAUAAAUGACGAGAUUAAUAUUUUUUUUAUAUUGCAACUCAAGGGCACUUUAAACAAAACUACAAUUAAACUAAGUUUUGUACAAGAUGAAAAGCACAAAAAGAUAUUAAAAGCUGCAAAAGUAAACCACUAAAUUGCAGAAAAAUCUAGAAUUUGUAAAGUUCUAAUAAAUAUAAGAAGAAAAUAAGCAUUUUCAGAGUCAAAGAUCAUAACAGGUGGGUUGCAUUGUUAAAAAGAAAAAAAAAAA